UUCCGGUUGAUCCUGCCGGACCCGACUGCUAUCAGAGUGGGACUAAGCCAUGCGAGUCGACGUAGCAAUGCGUGGCGUACGGCUCAGUAACACGUAGUCAACAUGCCCAGGGGACGUGGAUAACCUCGGGAAACUGAGAAUAAACCACGAUAGGUCACGAUUUCUGGAAUGGAUCAUGGCCUAAAUCUACAUGGCCCCUGGAUUGGACUGCGGCCGAUCAGGCUGUUGGUGAGGUAAUGGCCCACCAAACCUAUAACCGGUACGGGCUCUGAGAGGAGAAGCCCGGAGAUGGGCACUGAGACAAGGGCCCAGGCCCUAUGGGGCGCAGCAGGCGCGAAACCUCUGCAAUAGGCGAAAACCUGACAGGGUUACUCUGAGUGAUUUCCGCUAAGGGGAUCUUUUGGCACCUCUAAAAAUGGUGCAGAAUAAGGGGUGGGCAAGUCUGGUGUCAGCCGCCGCGGUAAUACCAGCACCCCGAGUGGUCGGGACGAUUAUUGGGCCUAAAGCAUCCGUAGCCGGUUCUGCAAGUCUUCCGUUAAAUCCAGCCGCUCAACGGAUGGGCCGCGGAGGAUACUACAGGACUAGGAGGCGGGAGAGGCAAGCGGUACUCAGUGGGUAGGGGUAAAAUCCUUUGAUCCAUUGAAGACCACCAGUGGCGAAGGCGGCUCGCCUGAACGCGCUCGACGGUGAGGGAUGAAGCUGGGGGAGCAAACCGGAUUAGAUACCCGGGUAGUCCCAG
rnacentral:rRNA from 1 species